UUCUAAUUAUAUUUUCUAAUUACAUUUUUAUGUUGUUCUAAUUACAUUUUUAAGCCAUCUGGAAUUUAUUUUAGUAGACUAUUUAAAGACUCUAAACUUUUCCAGUGGUUAUUCAGUUGUCCCAACGUCAUCAUUCAGGUAACUCUUGCUGUGAUGAGCAAGUGUGAGCAGAAAGAGGUCCAUGUUCCUUCUCAUUGCUAGAAGCAUUCCAUGCCUUUCUGAUCAUGAGGUCCUACUGCUCAGCAUUGUAUCAUAAUUUUUUCUGACACCAUAGUGCUGUACACUAAUGAAGAAAAGAAUGUAGUUAGAAACUCAUCGCCCUAAAAAUGCUGGAAAUUAAGGCAAUACCCCGCUGGUAGAAGUCUCCCUGUGUCCAGUUUCUCUUCUAAAACCCUUCAUUCCACCAAAGCUCGCUCUGAAAACUCAAAGAUGCCGCUUUCCUUUGACCUGCAGGUGGCAGACGUCCGCCGUGGCUCUCAGGGCUUAGCCACAGGUUUACAGUCCUGGAGGAGAGAGGUUGGCAGAGGUCUGCCAGCAGGGAUUUAGGGCAAAGGCCCUUGGGCAGAUCCUUUUGUUGCUGUGUGUGUGAGUCCACAAAGCUGGCUCUGCAGGAGGGGGUUCUCUGGGCCGGCAUCUCCCCUUACAUACAAGGUUGAGGGAAGUCUCUCCUGC
rnacentral:lncRNA from 1 species